GGCCGGGCCGCUGCUGACGCUGGCGGCGGACGCGGCGCGCGGCGGAGGCGGUGCUCCAGCGUCUCCGGGGCUGCGGCGCCCGCGCGCCCCUCGGCAAACUGCGGAGCUGAAGCUUUGAAGGAUGGGUAGAGACUUCCGGUAUUACUUCCAGCACCCCUGGUCUCGCAUGAUCGUGGCUUACCUGGUGAUCUUCUUUAACUUCCUGAUAUUUGCGGAGGACCCAGUUUCUCACAGCCAAACAGAAGCCAAUGUUAUCGUCGUUGGAAACUGUUUCUCAUUUGUAACAAACAAAUACCCCGGAGGAGGUGGCUGGAGGCUCCUGAAGGUGCUUCUGUGGCUCCUUGCCAUUCUCACAGGACUAGUAGCUGGCAAAUUUCUGUUCCAUCAGCGUCUGUUCGAGCAUAUAUCAUUACAGACUAUAUGGGCAUCCGAAAUGAAAGUUUCAUGAAAUUAGCUGCAGUGGGGACCUGGAUGGGGGACUUUGUCACAGCUUGGAUGGU